GAUGUGGGAGAAAAGUGAUGAGUUUUUGAGAGCUUUUUUGUUCCUUUUCAAUACAAAACGUCGUCGUAGGACCAAACAGAAGGCAGAAAGGUCGAAUCGAAUCUCUCCGGCGAUUGAAGAAGAUUGCGGCGGCGACGGCGAGUACGAUAACGACGCUCGAAAAUUCUACCAACGGCUACGUGGAUCCUGAUCUUGUUGUGGAGCCUAUAUCUUCUUCGCAAUCUGCAAGACCAUCAUCUACCAAUGCAAAUGAACAAGCUCGCUCACGGGCAAAUCCAAGUUCAGGGCGCUGGGGAUCAUCAGACUAUUCAGUUUUCUGUCAAUGUUUGGUCACAAGUUGAGAUGAUGAUGAUGGUGCUAUGUCUUUUUGUUCUCAUGUCUUGAUGUGCCCUAUUAUACUCAGAUAUGAACUACUGUGCUCGCAAGUGUUACCUCUAGUACCAAAGAACCUCUCCAAUAGUGCUAUAUCGUCUAUCUUUCAUGGGAACUGCGUGCUAGUUUACGGGAGGCCAAGGCCAUGGAAUAGGCAAGGACUGCAAGUCUGUUUUCAAAUCAGUUGUGGGAGCAGAAGAUUUCAUCUACUGCCUUACAUUUGUCACUUCACAUCUCUGUGUGUUCAUCUGUCUAUUUCUCUCCGACAUAUCUACUGCUUUUUAUAUCCUAUCAUGAUGGAAGUUCCCUUGUGGGUCGGCUCAGCUCAGACGCAACAUCCGUUGAAGACACCAUGCGACUUCUUGGAGUGGUCAAGGUCACCUCUUCAAGAUUGGGCAUCUCUGGUACUGGAGGAUCGAUUGUUGAAGAGCUUAGUGCUCAGAUGCGGAUGGUGUCUAAAAUAGCUUUGACCUAUAAACCCACUUUCUCGUUCUUUCUGGAGAUGAAAGGUUCUUAACUGUAGUGGAUAAUCUGAUGCAAGUGCUAUGGGGAAUUUUGGAUACGGAGCCACUUGAUACACCAACUAUGAACAUUAUCGUGAUGUCCUCCGUUGAACUAAUCUAUAGCUAUGCUGAGUGUUUGGCAUCUCAAGGAAAGGAUAAAGGGGUUCAUUCUGUAGCUCCUGCUGUUCAGUUACUGAAAGCACUUAUAUUAUCUCCUAAUGAGUCUGUGCAAACAUCCAGCAGCUUAGCAAUAUCAUCAAGGUUACUUCAGGUUUCUUUGCCAAAGCAAAACGAUGUUGACAACAGAUGAAUUGGUAUACAAUGUUACAACUCCUCCGGCUCCUAGCAGAACAGCCGGUGGAAAUACACAUGUCAUCAUGAUUGAAGAGGACUCUAUAACUUCAUCUGUUCAAUACUGCUGUGAUGGCUGCUCCACUGUCCAUAUACUAAGAAGGAGGUGGUAUCUUAACACAUCACUACUUCGUAGCGAGGUGGUUCUGUCUCAAAGGUGUUUUGCUCCAAGGAAGGUUCGAGUCCAAUCUGUAUCAACACCGAUUUGAGGAGAAUGUUGAGGUUGUUCUGUUGGAAGAGGCGCUGCCAGGAAUCAGAGAUCUUUUCAAUGCAGCCAGGAAAAGCUCACCUUCCAUUUUAUUCAUCCAUCUGUUAUGUGUCCAGAUAGAUAUAUAUGAUGUUAAGGUCAAGAAGAGAAUCUUCAGACGUUAUCUCUUGAGCCAAUGCAAUGCCCUCGAUGCAGUCGACCGGUUUACUGAUAAUCAUGGUAUCUGCAGCAACUGUCAUCAGAAUGCUUAUCAGUGCAGGCAAUGACGCAUCAUCAACUGCGAAAAUUUGGUUUCUUUCUUGUGAUGUGCAACGACUGUGGUUAUAGCAAGUAUGGGAGGUUAGAGUUCAACUUCAUGGCAAAAUCAAGUUUCAUAUUUGAUAAUAUGGAAAAUGGCAGACGAUAUGAAGAUGGGAUUGGCUGCUAUAGAGGCUUAGUCUGAAAACGCUCACAGGAGAUGUCAGCAACUCUUAGGCUUCAAGAAGCCGCUUCUCAAGAUAGUAUCAAGCAUUGGUGAAACUGAAAUGGAUUCACAACACAAGGACACUGUCCAGCAAAUGAUGGCAUCGUUGCCUCGUCCCUCAUGCAAGAUAAACUGCAAAGUCACACUUUUUGGGUGUACUGUAUGGUGAGAAGUGCAAAGCUGCUUUAAAUUCUGUCAGCAAAAGUGCACAAACACUGCCAGGGACUUCGCCGAGCUCUGAUGAGUUACCUCCAUCACAUAAAUUCAAACUUUUCAUCUGGUGCUUCAAGAUAUGUGGUUUCAAAGACCCCAAACAAUUGUUACGGUUGUGCCACUACAUUUUUCACUCAAUGUCUUGAGAUUCUUCAAAUGCUGUCGAAGCAUCCAAGAUCUAGGAAACAACUUGUUGCAGCUGGUAUCUUGUCUGAGUUGUUUGGAAACAAUGUUUACCAAGGUCCGUAAACAUCCCGUGCUCAAGCUAGGGCAGCUCUAGGAGUUUUCUUGGAGGGUGAUCUGAAUGCAGGCAGUGAGUUAAACAAUCUGGUACAGAAGAAAAUAAUGUACUGCCUUGAACACCAUCGUUCCAUGGACAUUGCGCUCGCCACUCGUGAGGAGAUGUUGGUGCUUUCAGAAGUAUGCUCUCUCACUGAUGAAUUCUUAGAGUCAAGACUGCUGUGCCUUGUUUUUCAGCUAUUAUUUUCUUCCAUUUAAUUGGGUUCUAAACAUCCUGCGAUAUCAGAGCACGUAAUUCUUCUUUGCCUUCAGAUCAUUUCUGUGGCGUGCACACCUCCAAAAUCAGAUACGUCAGAGAAAGAAAUAGUGAUAGGAAAAACUGCUCCCACAGUGCAAGAAAAGGAUGAGAAAGCUCCCGGCGUCUUAAAGUGUUCGUCAGAAACCGAAGAUAAUAACUCGGAUAUAUCUCAGAAGACGCUAGAUACUCAGCUUGUGAGUUAUUUGGAAUGGGAGAAAGGGGCAUCAUAUCUCGACUUUGUGAGGUGGCAAUACAAAGCCUCUCAGGCUAGAACCCACAGAUCAGAUUUCUUGGCACUUAAAUUUGCACUUAGGUGGAAGCGACGCACUAGCAGGCGCCAUCUAAAGGUGGUUUUACAGGCAUUUGACCUCGGGUCUUGGGUCACAGAGCUAAUUCUUAGUGCAUGUUAUCAAUCUAUUUGGUCAGAGGUGUGCACGCUGGCUAGUUUACUCUCUGCCCAAAGCUCGCCUAGGCGCUUAUAAAUGACUGUAACGCACUCCUAAAAGAUGAUGAUCUUGACGGUCUUUUGCUUGAAAUCAGUGAAAAUAUACGACAAUUCAUCCGUGCAUGUGUUUCUGGAUUUACAAACCCAUGCGGUAGAGAAAAAAGGACGUACCUGCUUGUUUAUCCUUGAGCAGCUUUGUAAUUUGAUCUGCCCAUCGAAACCCGAGGCUGUGUAUAUGCUGAUCCCGAACAGGGCACACACGCAAGAGGAGUUUAUUCGGGGAUCAAUGACGAAAAGUCCAUAUUCAAGUGCUGAGAUUGGUCCACUGAUGCGGGAUGUUUAAAACAAGAUUUGUCGCCUGUUAAAUGUACUGGAAGAUGACUAUAUGGCAGCAUGGAGUUGCUUGUUGCAGGAAACAUUAUUUCAAUAGACCUGAGCUGGUUGGAAGAAAUCAAAUCAGUCUUCUACUUCGCUGACCAACUCGGCACUGCUAGUUUCAAAUGCAGCUCCAUUGUCCUCCCAUGAAUGUGACAUACAUACUUCAGCGCUGGAAAAAUUGGAAGAAGGUGAGGAAUAUGGUGCAAGACCCAGAGAUUGAGUUUGCAAUAGCAGGUGCAGUUGGAGAAUAUGGUGGUCUGUAAAUUUUAAUUGAUACGAUGAUCAAGAGUUUGCGAGAUGACUGCAAAUCCAACGAAGAAGAGGUGGUUGCAGUUCUUGAUCUCCUAAACCACUGCUGCAAGAUUAGAGAGAGCAGGCGAGGAGCUUUAAGCUUACUUCUUAAAAAAAGCUAGGAGGGCAUCUUGUGUGGAUGCUACUGGAGCCAGCCGAAGGGAUUCUCUUAAUUGUGGAGAGUUUUGACUCUUGAAGCAAACGAAGGUGACAGCAUCAGCGCUGCACAAAGUGCUCUAACUGUCCCUGUCAGUAACCCAGGAAACGGGAACAUGGGAACAGGCCAAGAAAAGGGUGCUUAUCUUCUUACCAUCCAUCGGGGCUUAAGAAGUCAAAACAAACAGCAAAGAAACACGGAGUGGGUUGCUAGGAUCUUGGCCUUGCUUAACAUACGGUGAAACGGCAGCGAUGGAAGCACUCAUACAGCAUUUCAAGACGAGUUCUGUUGUGACUUUUGUGUCGGAAUCUUAGAUUACGCUUGGAGUAUGUGUGUUUGCUGCAAAAUGAGUUUAACUUGCUCGUAUUUGAGUCUCGUGAUAUUUCACACGAGCACUUAGAUUGUGCAACCAGAUUUUAUGAUUACAUAAUCUAUUUAACGUAUAUGUUUGUAACUAUAAGUUAGUACAGUAGACUUUUUUUUUUAAUUGUAGCAUGUGCAUUAGAUCAUAUAA